UGGUGGGCGAAAGGGUACCAGGAGAUAGCGUAAAAAAAUUAGGGGUACGGGGAGUCUAAAAGGUUGGUAACCACUGGCCGAUAUGGUUA